AAAGCGAAUAGUGAAAUAUGAUGGCUCAACCAUCAGAACAUUAUUCGAACUCACAGACUCGAGAAUGGUAGAGGUAACUGGAAUUUCUUGUGUAGGAGUGAAAUCCGUAGAUAUAAGAAGGAACACCAAUGGCGUAGGCAGGUUACUGGACCAUUUCUGACACUGAGGCACGAAAGCGUGGGAGCGAACCGGAUUAGAUACCCGGGUAGUCCACGCCGUAAACUAUGGAUACUA
rnacentral:rRNA from 1 species